rnacentral:tRNA from 1 species
GGUCUUAUAAUCAAAUCUUAUGAUUUUAAAUUGCAAAUUUAAAAGUGGGUCCUCCCUAAGGCUU